CACACACAUACACACACACACCCCGGCGUACUGGAACCUCUCUCGCGAUCCCGCACCCAGCUUGAAUUCAGCGAGAAUCGAAAACAGGUGUGCCCCCGUGUCCAACAACCGUCGUAUCUACAGCGAUCCUUAGAGAACAAUUAAGGCCAGUUGACAGUAAAGAACAGUCAGUGUGUACUUGAAGUCCACGCUGAGACAGCAUCAAUCUUCUGGCAGCUGCAAGACUGACCUAUCAACCGAGGCAUUUCUUCAUUCCCUGCCAUUGUCUCCUCCUCUUGAGAUCGCCAUCAGGCACAGUCACUUUUCUACAAACAGGCAAUAGGACUCCCGCUGCCACCCUGCCCAGAUUUUAGUCCUCUACUGCUGAUAAAGUGAGCAAAGAUACGUGGCACUUCCUGAACCCAAAUACUCUUCUGAGCUGAUUCUAAAUCCAAACAGAAUCAACCUACCUCCUAUUACCUCCUUCCAAGCUCAUUUCAGUCUCAGCUCCAGACAUCAGUGAAUUCAAUGUGAUACAUCAGGGGACAUCACAGGACUUCCCUACUUGAAAAUCAAGCAAUCAUGUCCCUGAAACACUCUGUCUUUAUUCAUGCUCAGUUACCAUAAAGUAGAUGCAACUCUAAGAACCUAUGGAUUUUUUUAUUGCCACUAAUAGAUCAUGAUUUACAGCAAAAUUUUAAAAGGUCCAAUUUUACUCACAUAAGAAGAAGAAAACAUUCAGCAAGAAGCAUUUCUUUUGCUUUAUCUUUCCCAGUUAAAUAUGACUUUAAAAAAGACAAAAUUUUAAAAG
rnacentral:antisense_RNA from 1 species